UUUGAUUCUGGCUCAGAUUGAACGCUGGCGGGAUGCCCCACACAUGCAAGUCGAACGGCAGCCUGGACUUCGGUCUGGUGGCAGGUGGCGAACGGGUGAGUAAUGUAUCCGGAACGUGCCUGAGUAGCGGGGAUAACUACGCGAAAGCGUAGCUAAUACCGCAUACGCCCUUCGGGGAAAGCGGAGGACCUUCGGGCCUCGCACUAUUAAACGGCCGAUAUCGGAUUAGCUAGUUGGUGGGGUAACGGCUCACCAAGGCGACGAUCCGUAGCUGGUUUGAGAGGACGACCAGCCACACUGGGACUGAGACACGGCCCGGAGCUCACGGGAGGCGGCAGUGGGGAAUUUUGGACAAUGGAAACCUGAUCCAGCCAUCCCGCGUGUGCGAUGAGAAGGCCUUCGGGUUGUAAAGCACUUUGGCAGGAAAGAAACGGCCUGAGAUAAUACCCCGUGCAACUGACGGUACCUGCAGAAUAAGCACCGGCUAACCGUGCCAGCAGCCGCGGUAAUACGUAGGGUGCAAGCGUUAAUCAGGAAUUACUGGGCGUAAAGCGUGCGCAGGCGGUUCGGAAAGAAGAUGUGAAAUCCCAGAGCUUAACUUUGGAACUGCAUUUUUAACUACCGAGCUAGAGUGUGUCAGAGGAGGUGGAAUUCCGCAUUAUGCCAGUGAAAUGCGUAGAUAUGCGGAGGAACACCGGUGGCGAAGGCAGCCUCCUGGGAUAACUUGCUGACGCUCAUGCACGAAAGCGUGGGGAGCAAACAGGAUUAGAUACCUGGUAGUCCACGCCUAAACGAUGUCAACUGGCUGGCAGGGCCUUCGGGCCUUGGUAGCGCAGCUAACGCGUGAAGUUGACCGCCUGGGGAGUACGGUCCGCAAGAUUAAAACUCAAAGGAAUUGACGGGGACCCGCACAAGCGGUGGAUGAUGUGGAUUAAUUCAGUGCAACGCGAAAAACCUUACCUACCCUUGACAUGUCUGGAAUCCCGAAGAGAUUUGGGAGUGCUCGCAGAACCGGAACACAGGUGCUGCAUGGCUGUCGUCAGCUCGUGUCGUGAGAUGUUGGGUUAAGUCCCGCAACGAGCACAACCCUUGUCAUUAGUUGCUACGAAGGGCACUCUAUUAAGAGACUGCCGGUGAAGCAAACCGGAGGAAGGUGGGGAUGACGUCAAGUCCUCAUGGCCCUUAUGGGUAGGGCUUCACACGUCAUACAAUGGUCGGGACGGGUCGCCAACCCGCGAGGGAGCCAAUCCCAGGAAACCCGAUCGUAGUCCGGAUCGCAGUCUGCAGCUCUGACUGCGUGAAGUCGGAAUCGCUAGUAAUCGCGGAUCAGCAUGUCGCGGUGAAUACGUUCCCGGGUCUUGUACACACCGCCCGUCACACCAUGGGAGUGGGUUUUACCAGAAGUAGUUAGCCUAACCGUAAGGAGGGCGAUUACCACGGUAGGAUUCAUGACUGGGGUGAAGUCGUAACAAAAGGUAG
rnacentral:rRNA from 1 species